CAGCACUUGAUACCCUUGGGUUAUCUAUACCCUAACUAUGUGUCAGAGACUUGUGAUGUGUUGAGAUAACUGGUUUAAGAAGUGCAAGAUUAAUAAUAAAGGCAUGAGUCUUUUAAGCCCAGUGUGUAAAGAUGCACUCAAAAUUAUAACUCAAAGGCACAUAG